rnacentral:rRNA from 1 species
GACGAACGCUGGCGGCGUGCUUAACACAUGCAAGUCGAACGGAAAGGCCCUGCUUUUGUGGGGUGCUCGAGUGGCGAACGGGUGAGUAACACGUGAGUAACCUGCCCUUGACUUUGGGAUAACUUCAGGAAACUGGGGCUAAUACCGGAUAGGAGCUCCUGCUGCAUGGUGGGGGUUGGAAAGUUUCGGCGGUUGGGGAUGGACUCGCGGCUUAUCAGCCUGUUGGUGGGGUAGUGGCUUACCAAGGCUUUGACGGGUAGCCGGCCUGCGAGGGUGACCGGCCACAUUGGGACUGAGAUACGACCCAGACUCCUACGGGAGGCAGCAGUGGGGAAUAUUGCACAAUGGGCGGAAGCAUGAUGCAGCAACGCCGCGUGCGGGAUGACGGCCUUCGGGUUGUAAACCGCUUUCGCCUGUGACGAAGCGUGAGUGACGGUAAUGGGUAAAGAAGCACCGGCUAACUACGUG